rnacentral:tRNA from 1 species
GCGCCUGUAGCUCAGCUGGUUAGAGCGGACCGCUCAUAACGGUUUGGUCGGGGGUUCGAGUCCCUCCAGGCGCACCA